GAUGAACGCUGGCGGCGUGCCUAAUACAUGCAAGUCGAGCGAACAGAUAAGGAGCUUGCUCCUUUGACGUUAGCGGCGGACGGGUGAGUAACACGUGGGUAACCUAUCUAUAAGACUGGAAUGACUCCGGGAAACCGGGGCUAAUGCCGGAUAACAUGUUGAACCGCAUGGUUCUACAGUGAAAGGCGGCUUUGCUGUCACUUAUAGAUGGACCCGCGCCGUAUUAGCUAGUUGGUGAGGUAACGGCUCACCAAGGCAACGAUACGUAGCCGACCUGAGAGGGUGAUCGGCCACACUGGAACUGAGACACGGUCCAGACUCCUACGGGAGGCAGCAGUAGGGAAUCUUCCGCAAUGGGCGAAAGCCUGACGGAGCAACGCCGCGUGAGUGAUGAAGGUCUUCGGAUCGUAAAACUCUGUUAUUAGGGAAGAACAAAUGCGUAAGUAACUGUGCGCGUCUUGACGGUACCUAAUCAGAAAGCCACGGCUAACUACGUG
rnacentral:rRNA from 1 species